UACGUAGGCAGCAAGCGUUGUUCGGAAUUACUGGGCGUAAAGAGUGUGUAGGUGGUGUCGUAAGUUUGGUGUGAAAUCUCCCGGCUUAACUGGGAGGGUGCGCCGAAGACUGCGAUGCUGGAGUAUGGGAGAGGAAAGCGGAAUUCCUGGUGUAGCGGUGAAAUGCGUAGAUAUCAGGAGGAACACCUGCGGUGUAGACGG
rnacentral:rRNA from 1 species